CUAGCGGCGAAUGGGUGAGUAACACGUACUUAAUCUGCCCUUUAGAUUGGAAUACCCAAUGGAAACAUUGGCUAAUGCCGGAUACGCAUAGAAUCGCAUGAUUCUGUUGUGAAAGGAGCUCCAAAGCUCCACUAAAGGAUGAGGGUGCGGAACAUUAGUUAGUUGGUGAGGUAAUGGCCCACCAAGACUAUGAUGUUUAGCCGGGUCGAGAGACUGAACGGCCACAUUGGGACUGAGAUACGGCCCAAACUCCUACGGGAGGCAGCAGUAGGGAAUAUUCCACAAUGAGCGAAAGCUUGAUGGAGCGACACAGCGUGCACGAUGAAGGUCUUCGGAUUGUAAAGUGCUGUUAUAAGGGAAGAACACUCAGUAGAGGAAAUGCUAUUGAGCUGACGGUACCUUGUCAGAAAGCGAUGGCUAACUAUGUGCCAGCAGCCGCGGUAAUACAUAGGUCGCAAGCGUUAUCCGGAAUUAUUGGGCGUAAAGCGUUCGUAGGCUGUUUGUUAAGUCUAGAGUCAAAUUCCAGGGCUCAACCCUGGCUCGCUUUGGAUACUGGCAAACUAGAGUUAGAUAGAGGUAAGCGGAAUUCCAUGUGAAGCGGUGAAAUGCGUAGAUAUAUGGAAGAACACCAAAGGCGAAGGCAGCUUACUGGGUCUAUACUGACGCUGAGGGACGAAAGCGUGGGGAGCAAACAGGAUUAGAUACCCUGGUAGUCCACGCUGUAAACGAUGAUCAUUAGUCGGUGGAGGAAUCACUGACGCAGCUAACGCAUUAAAUGAUCCGCCUGAGUAGUAUGCUCGCAAGAGUGAAACUUAAAGGAAUUGACGGGGACCCGCACAAGCGGUGGAGCAUGUGGUUUAAUUUGAAGAUACACGGAAAACCUUACCCACUUUUGACAUCCUUCGCGAAGCUAUAGAGAUAUAGUGGAGGCUAACGGAGUGACAGAUGGUGCAUGGUUGUCGUCAGCUCGUGUCGUGAGAUGUUUGGUCAAGUCCUGCAACGAGCGCAACCCCUAUCUUUAGUUACUAACAAGUAAUGUUGAGGACUCUAGAGAUACUGCCUGGGUAACUGGGAGGAAGGUGGGGAUGACGUCAAAUCAUCAUGCCUCUUACAAGUGGGGCCACACACGUGCUACAAUGGUCGGUACAAAGAGAAGCAAUAUGGCGACAUGGAGCAAAUCUCAAAAAGCCGAUCUCAGUUCGGAUUGGAGUCUGCAAUUCGACUCCAUGAAGUCGGAAUCGCUAGUAAUCGCAGAUCAGCUAUGCUGCGGUGAAUACGUUCUCGGGUCUUGUACACACCGCCCGUCACACCAUGGGAGCUGGUAAUACCCAAAGUCGGUUUGCUAACCUCGGAGGCAACUGCCUAAGGUAGGACUGGUGACUGGGGUGAAGUCGUAACAAGGUAUCCCUACGAGAACGUGGGGAUGGAUCACCUCCUUUCUACGGAGUACACCUAGUUAUGGAAAAAAUAUUCGUAUUCAGUUUUGAGAGAUCUAUCUCUCUAUAUUUGUUCUUUGAAAACUGAAUAUCGACAUUGAAAAAUUAUAUUAAUUAAUAUUUCAAAGUUUAGAUCAACCUAUAGAAUAUAUAUAUCAAAAUUAAAGACAACAAUAGGUCAUACAACAAACAAUAACAAAACAACUAUUAAACAAGAUAAGAGUUUUUGGUGGAUGCCUUGGGUCUGGAAGUCUAAGAAGGACGUGAUUACCUGCGAUAAGCCUCGGUUAGCUGGAAAUAAGCUGUUAUCCGGGGAUUUCCGAAUGGGGAAACCCAAUUGAGCUAAUCCUCAAUUAUCAUUUCGAUGAAUUCAUAGUCGAAUGAAGAGACACGCUGUGAAUUGAAACAUCUCAGUAGCAGCAGGAAAAGAAAAUAAAGAAUGAUUCCCUCAGUAGUGGCGAGCGAACGGGGAAGAGCCCAAACCAACAUUUGAUGUUGGGGUUGUAGGACUACUUAUACGAAGUUAGACAAAACUUAAACAUAGCAGAAUAAGCUGGAAUGCUUAAACAUAGAGGGUGAAAUUCCCGUAAGCGAAAUGAAUAAGUCUUCAAGUAGUAUCCUGAGUAGGGCGGGGCACGUGAAACCCUGUCUGAACCCGCCGGGACCACCCGGUAAGGCUAAAUACUAACCAGACACCGAUAGCGAACUAGUACCGUGAGGG
rnacentral:rRNA from 2 species